rnacentral:rRNA from 1 species
CCCCUUCGGGGCCGAGUAGAGUGGCGUCCGGGUGAGUAACACGUGAGUAAUUUGCCUUCGGGUGGGGAAUAACAACCGGAAACGGUUGCUAAUACCGCAUAAUGCAGCGGCACCACAUGGUGACAGUUGUUAAAGCGGGGGAUUCGCAAGAACCUCGUGCCUGAAGAGAAGCUCGCGGCGGAUUAGCUAGUUGGUAGGGUAACGGCCUACCAAGGCCACGAUCCGUAGCCGGCCUGAGAGGGCGGUCGGCCACACUGACACUGACACACGGGUCAGACUCCUACGGGAGGCAGCAGUCGGGAAUUUUGGGCAAUGGGCGAAAGCCUGACCCAGCAACGCCGCGUGAAGGAUGAAGUUUUUCGGAAUGUAAACUUCACAAGAAUGGGAAGAAUAAGUGGGGGAUAAUACCCCCCAUGAUGACGGUACCAUUUGUAAGCUCCGGCUAACUCCGUGCCAGCAGCCGCGGUAAUACGGGGGGAGCAAGCGUUGUUCGGAUUUACUGGGCGUAAAGGGCGCGUAGGCGGCGCAACAAGUCACUUGUGAAAUCUCCGGGCUUAACUCGGAGCGGCCAAGUGAUACUGUCGUGCUAGAGUGCGGAAGGGGCAACUGGAAUUCUCGGUGUAGCGGUGAAAUGCGUAGAUAUCGAGAGGAACACCUGCGGCGAAGGCGGGUUGCUGGGCCGACACUGA